rnacentral:lncRNA from 1 species
CUGGGGUUUUGAUUAUACUUGGAGUAGAUCCGAGCUCAAAUGGAACUCCAAUAGUGAGGUCUUACCUAGAGACAAGGAGGCUUUUGGAGAACUGUUAGAUAUGAAGGUACCCAAGCUGAGCCUAUUGGUGUCUAAUUAGUCCUUGUUUGAAUCUGGCAUCAGUCAACUUUCUCCCUAAGGUAAGCUGAUGUCAAUUUUCAUUUAUCAACAUUCUUUCUUUCUCUUUUUCUCUCUUCUCUUUUUUUUUAAACCUUCUUCUCUUUAUAGUAGACAUCAUGAAGUUUGACCCGAAGAGGUUGGCAGAUGCAAAGAAAAAGAAACAAGAUGCUUUUGAUCAGCCUCCAAUGAAGAGGACCAAAGAAGCCAUUUGCUCUGACUACUAGAUCGACUGCCAUCUGAUCUCCUCCAACUUUUCGAGCUCUGAGAACAUUGACAAUAAGUGCUGCUUCGAUCUCAUCGGCACCCCCACCAGCAAAAUCAACAUCCAAAUCUCCACCUCGAUAGUCUACCAAGGUCCCUCGCCCACCUGCCAAGGACACUAUGCAACCAAGGCAGGGUUCUAUGCAAGCUCCACCCCCC